AGAGUUUGAUCCUGGCUCAGGACGAACGCUGGCGGCGUGCCUAAUACAUGCAAGUCGUACGCUUCUUUUUCCACCGGAGCUUGCUCCACCGGAAAAAGAAGAGUGGCGAACGGGUGAGUAACACGUGGGUAACCUGCCCAUCAGAAGGGGAUAACACUUGGAAACAGGUGCUAAUACCGUAUAACAAUCGAAACCGCAUGGUUUUGAUUUGAAAGGCGCUUUCGGGUGUCGCUGAUGGAUGGACCCGCGGUGCAUUAGCUAGUUGGUGAGGUAACGGCUUACCAAGGCCACGAUGCAUAGCCGACCUGAGAGGGUGAUCGGCCACAUUGGGACUGAGACACGGCCCAAACUCCUACGGGAGGCAGCAGUAGGGAAUCUUCGGCAAUGGACGAAAGUCUGACCGAGCAACGCCGCGUGAGUGAAGAAGGUUUUCGGAUCGUAAAACUCUGUUGUUAGAGAAGAACAAGGAUGAGAGUAACUGUUCAUCCCUUGACGGUAUCUAACCAGAAAGCCACGGCUAACUACGUGCCAGCAGCCGCGGUAAUACGUAGGUGGCAAGCGUUGUCCGGAUUUAUUGGGCGUAAAGCGAGCGCAGGCGGUUUCUUAAGUCUGAUGUGAAAGCCCCCGGCUCAACCGGGGAGGGUCAUUGGAAACUGGGAGACUUGAGUGCAGAAGAGGAGAGUGGAAUUCCAUGUGUAGCGGUGAAAUGCGUAGAUAUAUGGAGGAACACCAGUGGCGAAGGCGGCUCUCUGGUCUGUAACUGACGCUGAGGCUCGAAAGCGUGGGGAGCAAACAGGAUUAGAUACCCUGGUAGUCCACGCCGUAAACGAUGAGUGCUAAGU
rnacentral:rRNA from 1 species